UGUUAUGAAUGAGUUCUUCUAAAUAUUAAACACUGUAGCUUCAAUUCAUGCAAAUUUUCAGAUUUUGGUCAAAAUGACUUGAAUCUAAUGAAAUGACCUGAAACUGCUGCUGUAAGAAAAUUCUUGCAGUAGUUUUUUGCAGUUGUGGUAAGAAAUGACGUACCCCAGCUGAUCUUGCCUUCUUUCUCCAGUUUCUUCAAGUGAUGGACGAGGUUCACGUUGGCUGCUUGGUGCAGGUAUUCAGGCGUGUCCUGAAAUAGACAAGCAGUAAAAACAAAAUCAAAAAAUGGCAUUUUCAAUGUGGCCCCGAAGGAAACGGACCACGGCGGCUGUCGCCUCAGGUCACUUCCAUCCUCCAGAGUUCGCACCACGGGGGUUCGGUGCUGACCUUAUACACGAUCUUCACCAGCUCCAUGGAGGUGAAGGGUUUCCCCGCUCCCUCCUGAAUGGCCGCCAUGAUCUGCUGCUCUCGUUGCUGCCGGUGGCCGAUGUAGUGUCUGAUCUUGGCGCCGGCGUCCUGAACCACGGGGCCGUGACCUGCGCAGAGAACUUCUUCAUGAACAAGCCUCAGACUUGACGUUCAUCCAUUUAAAAGCUCCCCCGGAGCGGGUGCUUACCCGUCCGUCCCCCCUCCUCCUGUAUCACCCACCACUGAGGUUCCCUUGUGCCACACUCACCGGGGUAGAUGAGGUCGGCCCGGGUGUCCAGCAGGACGUGGAGGGACUUUGUGUAUUCGUACAGGUCCUCGAACACGGCCGUGCCCUCGCCCAGGAUGCAGUCUCCGGAGAAGAGCGCCUGCUCCUCCUCCAGCAGCAGGGCCAUGUGGUCGUCACUGUGACCCGGGGUGAACAUCACUCUGGGAAAAAUGGAAAUUAUAAAACACGGCUUCUUCUAUGCCCGAAAAAAAAUUAAAUAACUGACUGCCACACGGUUCCUACAUAAGCUGUGACAGCGUGUGUAGUUUACUUAUAAACCACUACACAGGUGUUGAUGAAUAUAUUUACUACCACUUGUCUUCAAAUAAGAGUUUUAAAUAAAUAAAAUUUUAAAUAA